rnacentral:rRNA from 1 species
CGUAAUCAACCUGCCCUUCAGAGGGGGACAACAGUUGGAAACGACUGCUAAUACCGCAUACGAUCUAAUCUCGGCAUCGAGGAUAGAUGAAAGGUGGCCUCUACAUGUAAGCUAUCACUGAAGGAGGGGAUUGCGUCUGAUUAGCUAGUUGGAGGGGUAACGGCCCACCAAGGCAACGAUACAUAGGGGGACUGAGAGGUUAACCCCCCACAUUGGUACUGAGACACGGACCAA